rnacentral:rRNA from 1 species
UACGUAGGGGGCAAGCGUUGUCCGGAAUCAUUGGGCGUAAAGCGCGUGUAGGCGGCCAGGUAAGUCCGUUCUGAAAGCCCGGGGCUCAACCCCGGGAGGCGGAUGGAUACUGCUUGGCUCGAGUCCGGAAGAGGCGAGUGGAAUUCCCGGCGUAGCGGUGAAAUGCGCAGAUAUCGGGAGGAACACCAAUGGCGAAGGCAGCUCGCUGGGACGGUACUGACGCUGAGACGCGAAAGCGUGGGGAGCAAACAGG